UCUGAGACCAGCUCUGACAACUAAGUAAUUCCUUUUUUUCCUCUCUGUCUUCCUUUGACUAUUACAAAUUUCUCUAUAUGGCAUCCUCCUGAGUCUUCUGCUUCUUGGUGUCAACAUCGUCAUCCUCAUCAUCCUCAGCUACCCGCUUGCCGGUGCUUGGUGGUGAUCUCAGAGCUGGUGUCCACUGCCACGUCUAACUUGGUGGGGCACGC